rnacentral:rRNA from 1 species
AGCGAACGCUGGCGGCAGGCCUAACACAUGCAAGUCGAACGAAGUCUUCGGACUUAGUGGCGGACGGGUGAGUAACACGUGGGAACGUACCUUUUGGUUCGGAAUAACUCAGGGAAACUUGUGCUAAUACCGAAUGUGCCCUUCGGGGGAAAGAUUUAUCGCCUUUAGAGCGGCCCGCGUCUGAUUAGCUAGUUGGUGAGGUAAUGGCUCACCAAGGCUACGAUCAGUAGCUGGUCUGAGAGGAUGGCCAGCAACAUUGGGAAUGAGACACGGCACAAACUCCUACGGGAGGCAGCAGUGGGGAAUCUUGCGCAAUGGGCGAAAGCCUGACGCAGCCAUGCCGCGUGAAUGGUGAAGGUCUUAGGAUUGUAAAAUUCUUUCACCGGGGACGAUAAUGACGGUACCCGGAGAAGAAGCCCCGGCUAACUUCGUGCCAGCCGCCGCAGUAAAAC